rnacentral:rRNA from 1 species
UACGAAGGGGGCUAGCGUUGCUCGGAAUCACUGGGCGUAAAGGGCGCGUAGGCGGACCUGCAAGUCGGGGGUGAAAGCCCGAGGCUCAACCUCGGAACUGCCUUCGAUACUGCGGGUCUCGAGUCCGGGAGAGGUGAGUGGAAUUCCUAGUGUAGAGGUGAAAUUCGUAGAUAUUAGGAAGAACACCAGUGGCGAAGGCGGCUCACUGGCCCGGUACUGACGCUGAGGCGCGAAAGCGUGGGGAGCAAACAGGG